rnacentral:rRNA from 1 species
UACGGGGGGGGUAAGCGUUGUUCGGAAUUACUGGGCGUAAAGGGCUCGUAGGCGGCCAACUAAGUCAGACGUGAAAUCCCUCAGCUUAACUGGGGAACUGCGUCUGAUACUGGAUGGCUUGGAUCCGGGAGAGGGAUGCGGAAUUCCAGGUGUAGCGGUGAAAUGCGUAGAUAUCUGGAGGAACACCGGUGGCGAAGGCGGCAUCCUGGACCGGCAUUGACGCUGAGGCGCGAAAGCUAGGGGAGCAAACGGG